rnacentral:tRNA from 1 species
GCCGAAGUGGCGGAAUUGGUAGACGCGCACGACUUAGAAUCGUGUGAGGUAACUCAUGGAGGUUCAAGUCCUCUCUUCGGCA